UACGAAGGGGGCUAGCGUUGCUCGGAAUCACUGGGCGUAAAGCGCACGUAGGCGGAUUGUUAAGUCAGGGGUGAAAUCCUGGAGCUCAACUCCAGAACUGCCUUUGAUACUGGCAAUCUUGAGUCCGGAAGAGGUGAGUGGAACUCCUAGUGUAGAGGUGGAAUUCGUAGAUAUUAGGAAGAACACCAGUGGCGAAGGCGGCUCACUGGUCCGGUACUGACGCUGAGGUGCGAAAGCGUGGGGA
rnacentral:rRNA from 1 species